AAAGUAAGAAGUAUCCCUGCAUAUAUAGAUGCAGCAUUGGCUAGUGUAUAUGCCGAACCUUUCCCAGGGCAGCCUAUCCUUAAAGGAACAAUUGAGGACUACCAACCCUUCCCUUGUGGCUAUGGUAUAAUGACUUCAGAGAACUUCAGAACCCCUUAGUGCUUGUGAUCUAUCAAAGUUGCCAAAGUAUCUUCCCACCAAAGAAAUGGAUGCUAAAAGUCGUUAGGGUGAACAAAGGAAAGAGCCUGGUGCUUGAGCAACAGAGACAGCAUCAUAAAAACCAUGGAUAUUUAUUUGCAAAAGUCAAAUAUUUCUGCACAACUAGCACCAAAAGAGAUCUCUCUCUGUUCAUGUUAUAGAGGGAUGAAGCAAUAAGCAAGCUACUUAUGACUGAAUGAUUGUCCUUGAUUUUGCUGGGUGGGAAAG